AUUGAACGCUGGCGGCAGGCCUAACACAUGCAAGUCGAGCGGAUGAAGGGAGCUUGCUCCUGGAUUCCGCGGCGGACGGGUGAGUAAUGCCUAGGAAUAUGCCUGGCAGUGGGGGAUAACGUCCGGAAACGGGCGCUAAUACCGCCUACUUCCUGCGGGAGCAAGUGGGGGAGCGUCGGACCUCACGCUAUCAGGUGAGCGUAGGUGGGAUUAGCUAGCUGGUGGGGUAAAGGCCUACCAAGGCGAGGAUCCGUAACUGGUCUGAGAGGAUGAUCAGUCACACUGGAACUGGGACACGGUCCAGAGUCCUGAGGGAGGCCGCAGUCGGGAAUAUUGGACAGUAGUGGGGAGCCUGGUCCAGCCGGGCCGCGUGUGUUGAGAAGAUCCUCGGAUUGUGAAGCACUUUAAGGUGGGGGGAAGCGCAGUAAGUUGAUACCUUGCUGUUUUGACGUUACCAACAAAAUAAGCACCGGCUAACUUCGUG
rnacentral:rRNA from 1 species